rnacentral:tRNA from 1 species
GCUGAUAUAGUUUCAAGCCAAACAUUAGAUUGUGGAUCUAAAAAUAGAAGUU